GUCAUUCCUAACAAUCGCCAUUUACCAAUUACUUGAACUAGUUGAAGGGCUGACGACAUACAGAUUAACCCUGAGCAAUGACUCCACAUUCCUCUAAGCACGCAUUUCGUAAUUGUUGCCCUUGCGAAGGUGCAAAACAGUCUAAUAACUCUCGAUUUAAAUCGUGGCAAUCAGAGCUGGCGGGUACGCAAGAAAGGAGGAAGAGCGUUGGGCGGCUGGUUAGAUUUUUUUCUUUUCACAGCGUUCUCGCUAAAGAACACCCAAGAGGAUCUGCAACAGAGGGAUGCUAUCUCUGACAAAAACACAACUCUAUGCCCUCUAUGCCGCCCAGCGGCACUUUCCAAAUCACAGCAGUAUAUAUUAUUGAACAGUUUCUAUCCCGAGUGGAACAGACACUGAUAAUUGACAUACGACCUAUCAGUAAGAAGAAGGCACAAUAGAUCUACUCAUAAACCACGGCUAAAUGUCUUCCGGGGCUUGGCUGUCUUUUUUUGCCAGACAACAUCUCGCAAAUAGCCCUUUGUAAAACCCCAAUAGCAAACUCCCCGUAAGAGGCAGGCAACAUUUUGAGGAUCCGAAUAGUAAAACGAUUUAUUUUAUUUCUUUACUUGUAGAAAAAAAGUACAGGCGAUGAUUGCCUCGUUACACGAUCACGCAAGACUGGAAAUAACACGCGAGACACGCGAAGGUCGCCAAGUAGUGGAACAGUUCAGAUGUUCCUAAUUAUAAAAGUCACGGGAGAAAUAAUCUCACACUAUCAUCAUAAAUGUACUGGUUUACGAAGAAACCAAAUCCUUGAAAAAGAUGCUUCUAUAAAAAUCGAGCUAAAAAUUUGCCUACAAAAAAUUACAAACAAAAACAACAACGUAAAACUUGACUAAAACGAUAUGGCAGAUGGACGAUUCCUCGCACAACACGAACUGUGUGAGGAGCCAGUGUGUGCGAUAUUAUAAAAGGCUGGACAAAGACUUAAAAGGGAAUAGUAUAGUAUAGUAAAUAAUAAUCUAAUACUCACCGUGCCGCGAUAGUCGCUCUAAAUCUCGCUGGUCGCUCUUACCUUUGCAGGAAGACGUGGUGAAACCUGAUCGGGGGAUAUCUUGAGUGGUUUAUUCCAGUAUUUCUAGGGCGCGUUGAAGGAUCUUAUUUCGCUAUCGAAUAUGGACUUCGCUAGAUAAGAAAGGAAAUGAUCAUUAGGUGAUAUUUCAUCCACGGCGGGUUUUCUGUGUUUUGCGACCCCGGUCUGUGACCCUUCACAUGUGGUGGGUCUGCCUUUAUAGGACGGUGUUGACUCUACAAAUGAGGUUUUUACUUAGCGAGGGAUAAAAACAAAUUCCAACAUAACUAAGAGAUAAACACCAAGACAGUUUAUACAGUGAAUCCAAAAAAUUUAUAGAGGCUAGAUACUGAAUUUCGAGAAAUUUCUGGUAGUCUCUUUUUUAUAUGUCUUCUUUUCUGAUAAUAUCCCGUUGCGCAAAAGAAGGAGUUUUUCAAAAGAACAUAAACCUUUUUAUCUAAAGGUCGAAGAAACACAAUGGAGUCAA